CCUCGCUGGUACCGUAGGUUCCCGGGCCUUUUCUAGGUACUGAAUUUCAAAUAAAUACAAUAAGUCGUUUUUAAAAGUCUCGAGCGGUCCGGAAGCCCCGCACGCCUUGCGUGCCCCCCCGAGGGCUGUCUUUAGCGGGCAGAAUCCCCCGAAGAGGUCUUGGCACCCGGAUCCCCUAGCACAAGCCUUGCCCGCGAGGGCUUCUUAAAUGCUUGUUCGAUUGAAUUUUACAGAUGGGGAAACUGAGUCCCGGAGAAGGUGACAGAGCAGAAUUGGUGUCUGCUGCUUCUUGUGGGAUGAGCGACUGCUGGAGAAAGGUGUUUGUGUGGAACCACUAGAGCAGUGGGGACCGUGUUUCAUGCAAUCCUCCCCCCAAUUAUCCAGGUAACUGAGAAAGGCUCUAUGAGGACUGGCUAUCUUAGCUAAGAUACAGAGUGGCUGGACAUACCAACAAUCCUUUGCGGUGACUGGGAGUAAAACCAGCUGAACAUGUAGAAAACUGCAGCUCUGAAGCCAGUUAAGCUCCUAGCAGCUUUCAAGCAGACCUGCAGCCAUUUGGUGGCUUACGGACCUUCAAGAAACAUCCUUGUCUUCAGAGACUCCGCUGUCAGUUAUGAGGCUCUUAGACACAUCCUGUUUUACAUCCCCUUACCUUAUGAUUUGUGCUCCAGCCUGCUUAUCGCCAGAAAGCCUUCUGGAUUUGUGGAUCAAAGGGCCACAGCUCUGACACCUGGAAUUCCCCACUCCCCCCUCCCCUUGGGAACUGGCUCCGUGACUCAGUCCUUUCUAGGAGUCCCACCUUUCUCCCCAAAUUUCCUGCCUUUCUUUGUUCAAAAAGUACCUAUAUUCUCCCUAUUCAUUACUUCGUGGGUUGUUAAACAUUAGGCUGGCAGUUCCCAUGCACAUGUUUUAGUCCCCUGCUUAAUAAAAAUCUUUAAUUUC